GAUGAAGAACGUAGCGAAAUGCGAUAACUAGUGUGAAUUGCAGAAUUCCGUGAAUCAUCGAGUCUUUGAACGCACAUUGCGCCCCCUGGUAUUCCGGGGGGCAUGCCUGUCCGAGCGUCAUUGCUGCCCAUCAAGCACGGCUUGUGUGUUGGGUCGUCGCCCCCCCUCCGGGGGGGGACGGGCCCUAAAGGCAGCGGCGGCACCGCGUCCGAUCCUCGAGCGUAUGGGGCUUUGUCACCCGCUCUGUAGGCCCGGCCGGCGCUUGCCGAACGCAAAACAACCAUUCUUUCCAGGUUGACCUCGGAUCAGGUAGGGAUACCCGCUGAACUUAAGCAUAUCAAUAAGCGGAGGA
rnacentral:misc_RNA from 1 species